UGCUCUGGAAGCCGGGCCUGUGACUAGUGUGGGUGCAGCUGGUCACACGUAGAACAUGAUUACGGAUGAAACGUAUUUGCUACUUCCCGAUUCAUUUUCUGCUGACUUUGGCCCAACCAAAGCGACCUCGCUGCUACGUUGCAGUCUGGGGAGUUGUAGUCGCUCCUCUGCUUCGGUUUGUCCUGCCCUUUCCUGGCUGCCGGUGGCCCUGCUCGCCUGGCCCCGGCCCCACCGCGGUUCACAAGAGAGAGGCUUCUGGUCCCUGUGGGCCUCAGGCCGUUUGGAGCACCCUCUCUGCACAUGCUGCUCAAGAGGUUCCCAGCGUGGGCUCUGCGCACCGGGCCCUGCUCUGUGCUGGCCUGGCCCCCUCUGCCCACCUCCCGGGCCCUCCUUGUCCGACGGGAAGCAGAGCCGCAUCCUCGCCAAAUCCCCCCACACGGCUGGGCUGGGGCGGCAGGAGGAAUGAUAUGCUUGCGCUCCGAGGGCUCGGGAAGGCGUUGCCUUGGGCGCCCGCAAGUCACGUCCGCCAGACGCAGUCAGGCCCGCAUCUCUCAGCAUCGCUGUUGAGACAGAAGCGUUCAGCUGAGCCUGUUUUCUGUGCUGAGCACACCAGACAGAACCUCUCGUCUUUCUGGGGCCCCCACCCUUGAGGAGCUGCGGAUCUGCACCGCAGAGGAGGUGCCCACGCCGCCCUUCAUCUGUCCCAGGGCCCCAGGGGGUGGUCCUGGCUGCCCGGUUCCCUUGCAGCUCUGGUCCACGGGCUCGGCCUUGAUGGGUUCGGUGCAGAUGCCUCGAGUGGCCAGGGCCCUGCAGGGGGGCCCUGCUGCCUCAGCCCCUGCAGGUCGUGGCUCAACCAGGAGUGCUCGGCCCCUGUGUCUGCAGCAUCCCAACCUCCGUGGGUUACGUGCAGCUGAGUUUCAUCUGUUACAUCAUCUAUGUCCAUGAUUGAGGGUCAAGGAAAGAAGGAAGGGGCUUUGCAAGACUGCUGGGGACCCUGAGGAGCCCCCGAGCACCUGGUGGCCUCCCCUCCUAGGGGGCCGUCACCGUGAGCCUUGGUGUCACGUGAAGCCGGGCCGUCUGGGUGGCCGGUCUCGGAGCCACCGUGGGAGUGCAGGGAGCUCCACCACCAGCCCUGCACCACGCGGGGCCUCCCUGGCCCGUGUCUUUCUGCCGGACGUGGGUGCCAGGCGUCCGAAGGACCAGGUUCUGGGGAGGAAGACCUAGCUGUAUCAGCGCAGCCGCUGUGGGCAGCCAGGAGGUGGCAGGGCCAGCCCGGGGACGCAGGCCAGCGUGAGGUGGCCGUGGGUAUUACGCUCGUCCAAAAAACGGCAAGAACCAAGAACGCCCCACAGCUGACAGUCAAGUGUCUUUGCAAGUGAAAACUCUUAAUUAAAUGUAUUUUAAAAGCCGUUUUCACCAUCCAAGAAGGUAGGAAAUGUAUUUUGAGUAAUACGAGCUUAUUGAAAUAAACUCUCAUAACUUAAAAUCUGGGAAAGACAGUAAAUGUAUCCCUCAGAGUUCCUAAAUCAGCUCGUCUGUGUUCCUGAGUAGAGUGGGCAACAUGCUUGUUCCAAAGGUUCCGGAAUGACCCUUAGAGACCACGGGCUUCGUCUUUGGGGCGGUGAGCCCUCUCCUGGGGCCGAGGACACAGCC